rnacentral:precursor_RNA from 15 species
UAACUCUGAAGUCUGUGGGUAUGCAUACGCUAUGGGGACAAUACUGGCAUAGCUUUAGCACCCUAGCUAUGCCGGCAUAGCCCCAUGGUGUGUAGACUCACCAACAGCAAUGGAAGGGG